UACAGAGGGGGCAAGCGUUAUUCGGAAUUAUUGGGCGUAAAGGGCGCGUAGGCGGCCUUUCAAGUGACGGGUGAAAGCCCUCGGCUUAACCGAGGAACUGCCUGUCAGACUGGAAGGCUUGAGACCGGGAGAGGUGAGUGGAAUUCCCAGUGUAGCGGUGAAAUGCGUAGAUAUUGGGAGGAACACCAGUGGCGAAGGCGGCUCACUGGACCGGUACUGACGCUGAGGCGCGAAAGCCAGGGGAGCAAACGGG
rnacentral:rRNA from 1 species